rnacentral:ncRNA from 1 species
AACCCCGUGAGGAUGCCCUAUGCUAUCCCGCCUAGGAAGCACAGGAGCUGGUAUCAGGCUCACCCCGCGUGCACAUAAUUUAUGCACGCUUCACGCCCACGACACCUUGCUUUGCCACACCCCCAAGGGAACUCAGCAGUAAUAAACCUUGAGCCAUGAGUGCAAGCUUGACUCAGUUAAAGUUAAGAGGGUUGGUUAAUCUCGUGCCAGCCGCCGCGGUUAUACGGGAAACCCAAGGUGAUGGUCAUCGGCGUAAAGCGUGGUUAGAAUAUUUUCACCUAAACUAAAGCCGAAAGCCUUCAUAGCAGUCGUACGCUUCCGAAAGUAAGAAGCCCAAUCACGAAAGUAGCUUUAUGAAAUUUUGACUCCACGAAAACUGGGGCACAAACUGGGAUUAGAGACCCCACUAUGCCCAGCCUUCAACAAAAACGGCCCACUACAUUUGUCCGUUCGCCUGGUUACUACGAGCUCAACAGUGUCUAAGCUUAAAACCCAAAGGACUUGGCGGUGCUUCAGAACCCCCUAGAGGAGCCUGUUCUAUAACCGAUAAUCCCCGUUAAACCUCACCCUUUCUUGUUCAUUCCAGCCUAUAUACCGCCGUCGCCAGCUUACCCCUUGAGGGAUAACGAAUGUAAGCUCAAUCGGUGCAAUCUGCCCCAUAAGUCAGGUCGAGGUGUAGCGUAAGAAAGGGGAAGAAAUGGGCUACAUUCCCUAUGUCAGUGAAUACGGAAGAUCAACCCUGAAACAAGGUAUCCGAAGGUGGAUUUAGCAGUAAGCAGGGAAUAGAGCGCCCUACUGAAGCCGGCAAUGGAGCGUGCACACACCGCCCGUCACUCUCUCCGAGCACCUUCGCCAUGAAUUUUUAUAAACCAUUAGAUAUGCACAGGAGAGGCAAGUCGUAACAUGGUAAGCGUACUAGAAAGUGCGCUUGGCUAAAUU